GGUGAGAACACUUGGAAAAAGAAACAGGGUCAUGGUGAUGCCUUUGAGUGUCCCCGGUUGCUGAGGACUGGAGCCUGGGAACGGCCUGCCCAGCCACCCAAAAGAUGCCAGGCUCAAGUCUGUCCUUCGGAGCCUCCUGCUUAGGAGCGGUGUUUAAGUCCAUCGGAAGGAAACCUGCACCAGAGAUAUUGACUGAGCAUCUCCCGCAAGCCAGGCCUAUGUGGGCACCAGGGACUCACUGGUGACAAGACAAACGGACCCCUGGCCUCUCGGAGUGGAAUGGAGAAGCAGGGUAAGCAGUCAGAGCACCACGUGAUCAGCGGACCCAGGGCGGAAGAGGACGGCAGACAUUCCCUGCCCGGCUGCCACCCGGCCUGACGGUGCCAGGGCCCGGUCACCUGGGAGGCCUGCUUCCUUAUCCGCAGAGGGUUGGGUGGUUGCGGUGCCCGAACUCCUGCGUCUCUUCAACUCUGACCAAACAGUCAUCUUUCCAGCCAGGAAAAACAGUGGCCUCCCUUGCAACCAUAUCUGAGUCUCUGGUCUGCGGCUGUAGCCUCUCCAUCACUCUCCGACCAGCCAGAGAGCCAUGGGGGACUUGCAAACUUCAGGCGCCCUGAGAAAGGCUUUGUGCCUGUCUUCAUGGAGAUACCAGUCCCCACUUUCCGGAGCUGCUGUGGAACACCAGAUGGCAAAUUGCAUGUAAAUGCACUCAGCACAGUGUCUGGCACACGAUCAUCUCUGGGGACACACAGAAACCACGGCUGCCCCCAGGAAGGGGAGUCACACUGCUGGACACACAGCUGGAGGAAGACCUUUCACAAUAAACCCUUUUCUUGACCCAUGGGAGUCGCUUACUCAAAAAUUAAAACAAAUGGCAUGAGUGCCAGAGUUGUCGAGUCCCAAGCCAUUAUGUCCAUUGCUUCGGUGCAUUUAAUUCCAAAGUCAAACGGCCGCGGCCCCGGCCUGUCUCCACACCUCAAACUCUGCCAGACAGCAUGUGGCUGUGGCGGCCCAGCUGGGAGAAGUUCAAGGCUGGGCUCCACCAUGUGCAACACCCACAGUGGCCUCAGAGUGAGGAGGCCGGCAGAGCCAGGGCUGCGGAGUAGCAGCCGGCAUCACAGCCCAGCUCCCCACGGGUCUCUGAACAAGGUCGGGCGCUGUAGGCCUGCCCUCCAGCUGAGGGCUACUGUCCAGGCCCCCACCCAGCCCAGUCUCCCUGCUCUGCUGUCAUUGCCUCGCGUGCUCCCCUCCAUGGCAUCUCCAGCACAAGGAGGCCAGCAGGUGCGCC